UACGGAGGGAGCUAGCGUUGUUCGGAAUUACUGGGCGUAAAGCGCACGUAGGCGGCUUUGUAAGUUAGAGGUGAAAGCCUGGGGCUCAACUCCAGAACUGCCUUUAAAACUGCAUCGCUUGAAUCCAGGAGAGGUGAGUGGAAUUCCGAGUGUAGAGGUGAAAUUCGUAGAUAUUCGGAAGAACACCAGUGGCGAAGGCGGCUCACUGGACUGGUAUUGACGCUGAGGAGCGAAAGUGUGGGGAGCGAACAGG
rnacentral:rRNA from 1 species